rnacentral:rRNA from 1 species
CAAAUGAAGUUGACGGGGCCGCGCAAGCGUGGAGCAUGUGGUUUAAUUCGAAGCAACGCGAAGAACCUUACCAGGUCUUGACAUCCCGAUGCUAUUUCUAGAGAUAGAAAGUUACUUCGGUACAUCGGUGACAGGUGGUGCAUGGUUGUCGUCAGCUCGUGUCGUGAGAUGUUGGGUUAAGUCCCGCAACGAGCGCAACCCCUAUUGUUAGUUGCCAUCAUUCAGUUGGGCACUCUAGCGAGACUGCCGGUGUCAAACCCGGAGGAAGGUGGGGAUGACGUCAAGUCCUCAUGGCCUUUAUGACCAGGGCUACACACGUACUACAAUGGCCGGUACAAAGGGCAGCGACACAGCGAUGUGAAGCGAAUCCCGAAAAGCCGGUCUCAGUCCGGAUUGGAGUCUGCAACUCGACUCCAUGAAGUUGGAAUCGCUAGUAAUCGCGGAUCAGCACGCCGCGGUGAAUACGUUCCCGGGCCUU